GAGGGUAUAGCUCAGUAGAGUGCAUGCUUAGCAUGCAGGAAGUCUUGGGUUCAAUCUCCAGUACCUCCA
rnacentral:tRNA from 1 species